rnacentral:miRNA from 1 species
AUAUGAAUCACCUGGGAAUCUUGUUAAAAUACAGAUUCUGAAACAGCAGAUCUGGGUGGGGCAAGAGUUCUGCAUUUCUAACAUGCUGUUGCUGGUCCAAGG